rnacentral:rRNA from 1 species
CCUACGGGAGGCAGCAGUGGGGAAUUUUGGACAAUGGGCGCAAGCCUGAUCCAGCAAUGCCGCGUGAGUGAAGAAGGCCUUCGGGUUGUAAAGCUCUUUUGUCAGGGAAGAAACGGUGGGAGCUAAUAUCUCCCGCUAAUGACGGUACCUGAAGAAUAAGCACCGGCUAACUACGUGCCAGCAGCCGCGGUAAUACGUAGGGUGCAAGCGUUAAUCGGAAUUACUGGGCGUAAAGCGUGCGCAGGCGGUUUUGUAAGUCUGUCGUGAAAGCCCCGGGCUCAACCUGGGAAUUGCGAUGGAGACUGCAAGGCUUGAAUCUGGCAGAGGGGGGUAGAAUUCCACGUGUAGCAGUGAAAUGCGUAGAGAUGUGGAGGAACACCGAUGGCGAAGGCAGCCCCCUGGGUCAAGAUUGACGCUCAUGCACGAAAGCGUGGGGAGCAAACAGGAUUAGAUACCCUGGUAGUCCACGCCCUAAACGAUGUCUACUAGUUGUCGGGUUUUAAUUAACUUGGUAACGCAGCUAACGCGUGAAGUAGACCGCCUGGGGAGUACGGUCGCAAGAUUAAAACUUAAAUGAAAUUGACGG